GUCAUGGUGGCUGAGUGGUAAAGCGCUUGGCUACCAAACCAGAAAAUCCUGGGUUCAAAUCUCGGUAAAGACU
rnacentral:tRNA from 1 species